GUAGAUAUAGUUUAACAAAAACGCUAGAUUGUGAUUCUAGAGAUAGAGGUUAAACUCCCCUUAUCCACC
rnacentral:tRNA from 1 species